UUUGUUUUUCUGGUCCUUAUAUAAACUGAUGCAUAUGACCCGCACUAAUAAUUUCGUUGAGUCUAUCUUUCUGUAACCAUCAAGUGUAAAAAGUUUUCACCAGCGAUAUCCUUUUUCACGAUUUAAAAUGGCUUCACAGGUACACGAAUUUGAAGUAGAAAUGACUUCCCAGGAAUGCGUCGAUGCUAUUAAAAAAGCCCUGGAAGGCUUGGAAGGUGUAAACAAAGUGGAAAUUGAGAUCGAGAAAAAAAGGUUUUUAUUGAUUCCACCCUGUCGUCAGACGAGCUUCUGGAAGCAUUGAAAAAGACAGGCAAAAAUUCUUCUUACGUUGGAGUGAAAGCUGCUUGAAAAUUUCUCAGUUUAUCAUUGAAGCCAUUAACCAUCUGUAGACGCAUUUAAGGAAUCCAUGUGCUAAGUGUGUUUUACCGUAAUAUUUCACGCAUUUUUAUUUGUCAAAACUAAUAGCAUUUGUGUUUUGUGUGUCAUUAACAGUUUAUUAUAUAACUAAAAACAUGGGUACAAAAUUGAAGAUUUCGGUGAUACUUCCGAAAAAUUGUAAACUUCAAUAAAAUUCAUUUUUGACUUAUUAAAUGCCAGGAUAGUUGAAACAUUGCAUCUAAAGAUUUCUUUAGUCACGUAACUUUUGUUUUUUAAUCAAAGGAGAAUUUGUGCCAUUAAAGAGUCAUAAAUAAAUAAAGAAGGAAGGGAUUUAGGUAUUUAUGCUAGUAUUGAAAGUUUUAUUGUUUAAUCUAUGAAUCACCUUUAGGGUCAUCCUUAUUAACAAAGUGCAUAUUUUCAAUAUUUUGUUAACGAAAAUCUUCGAUGUAUUUUAUGCUUUGUAAGUAAUUGUGUAAGAAAAUAUUCUCUUCUGAAAUUACAACUUUAUAGAGAUUAAAAAGGGGGGAAAAGUGUUUGCUACGUGAGGCAUUAAUCUUUCCCAAUGUGUUCAUUUUAUACGUUCUUAGAAAGUGAAAUCAUUACUUUGAGUUCUUAGAACGGAAUUUUGCUCUUCUUAAUUUCUAUGUAAUAUAUUGAAUUACACCGAGUAAUGCUAUGAAUGAGUGUGUAUUUUCUGUAAAUUCCAAUUUUAAUAUAUUGCAGAAAUGUGCUCUAAUUACUAAAAACGAAGAUAAAGUUUACAGUUUUCUGUCAGUAAAUAUUUGAACAUGCAUGUAUUAAUUGAUAUUAUAUAAGUUACAAAUAUGGAGCAUCUCUUAAACUUGAUUAUUAAGCUCUAUUAGUGAUCGAAAAUGGAAUUUAAAACACGAAUAAAGUUCUAUCGUAAUUGUAUGAUCCCCAGACAGUAUCUUAGUAAACAAAAACACUCUGUGUCUGAGAGACCACGAUUUACAAACUGCUGUUCUCGUUACAUAAAAUGUUAACAUUUCUCAUCUAAAGUUUAUUUCAAUAGAACAUUUUUUUUCUAUUCCAAGUGAACUAAAACGUUUAUUUAUCAGUAUUUUUCAAUUUGUAGUAUGUAAAACUAUUGUAACGUUCAGUCUUUUUUUUUCUUCGUGCUAUCUGGUGAUCAUAGACUUGCUAAUAAUGCCUUCAGAGUUUAAUCCUUUUAACGUUACUGUUGAAUUUCUGCUACUAUAAAGAUGACGAAAAAAACAUUUUUCUCUUAUAUAAUUAAUGUGUUAAAUGUUUAUAAAGACUGUUUAUAUAAAAAAUCCUCAAGAUUUGUUCUUGUCUGUUUGUCUCAGUAAAAUCUUUGUGCACAUGUACUAAAUGCAACUAUAUACUACGACAUUUUAACACAUACAGACUUAACUCAGAGUCACGUAGACUUUUGGCAAUUAGCCAACAUAAAUGCAGCGUUGAAUUAAAGAAAGGAUGUGACCCUAUCGGCUUCAUUAGGAGUUAACUAAAAAAAAAAACGGUCAAAGCGACAUAUGACGUCACAUAAGUCCAGUGCGCAUUACGUGAUCAGUCGUGCGUUUUGUUUUGUCUAGGAACUAUAUGCCAUGCGUAUAAGUAGACAAGCAGGCCCUUCGAGCAAAUAGCCAUUACACCAAUAAAUGAAUAAGCCAAGUUUAAUAUAUUUAACACGAGCACUUUGAAACUAGACCAGCAAUCACACGUUUCCUUGUUAUCUGUUGCUUUCUUUAAUCCAAUAUAUAACUUGUGUGAUCUAACUAGGUCUUUCGCAGUUGUGAUAUACUGUAUUUUUUAAAUCUGUAGUUGUAAGUUUAUAUACGUAAUAUUUCAUAAUAUAGUCACUUAACGUACAAACAAAAAUAAUAUUUUUGGUUAACAAAAAUGUGUAAAGUAACUAUUGGCCUAUCCAUAUAUCCAACAAACUGUUUAUUCGGUUUCUAUCGUACACGAUUAAUGCAGCUAUCAAAUUUGUCACUAAAUUAUAUAGAUUACUCACGCUCAUUGAUAUCGUCACGUAAUUUUAGUGUAUGUUAUUCUCCGAAAAUCUAACACACAUGAUAACAAUGAAAGUAGUCGGGAAAUUAGAAAACUUGCAUAGAAUGUAAAUUAAUCUUCCUGUUUUUUAUACUAAGCGAAGCUACUUAUACUCUCUUAUAUCUUGUUUGUUCAAAUUGUUCCUAAUAAUCUUACAUAAGAAAAAUGGUUACUUGUACGUCCAAAGUGACUAAUAAAAGCUUUCUUGUUCACA